rnacentral:misc_RNA from 1 species
GAUGAAGAACGUAGCGAAAUGCGAUAAGUAAUGUGAAUUGCAGAAUUCAGUGAAUCAUCGAAUCUUUGAACGCACAUUGCGCCCGCCAGUAUUCUGGCGGGCAUGCCUGUUCGAGCGUCAUUACAACCCUCAGGCCCCCGGGCCUGGCGUUGGGGAUCGGCGGAGCCCUCCGUGGGCACACGCCGUCCCCCAAAUACAGUGGCGGUCCCGCCGCAGCUUCCAUCGCGUAGUAGCUAACACCUCGCGACUGGAGAGCGGCGCGGCCACGCCGUAAAACACCCAACUCUUCUGAAGUUGACCUCGAAUCAGGUAGGAAUGCCCGCUGAACUUAAGCAUAUCAAUAAGCGGAGGA